CGGCGAAGCUUUUCCGGUGAGUAAUUGGACGGCACAGGGACGGUCUUCCGCGGUGGAUUUUUCGGCGAUCUCUACCGUUUUCCCCCAGAAUUUCUCGAUGAGAGGAGAGAGGAGGGUUCUCCUCCUUAAAUAGGACUGGAGGGAGAUCGUUUCCGACUCCGAUUGGGAGCCGGCGAGAGGAGGAAGAAGACUCCCUUCGGGAGUCUUCUCCCCUGUUUUCUUCUCUUUUUUUUUUAUUUUGGGCUU
rnacentral:lncRNA from 1 species